rnacentral:rRNA from 1 species
AGUGAACGCUGGCGGUAGGCCUAACACAUGCAAGUCGAACGGCAGCACAGUAAGAGCUUGCUCUUACGGGUGGCGAGUGGCGGACGGGUGAGGAAUACAUCGGAAUCUACUUUUUCGUGGGGGAUAACGUAGGGAAACUUACGCUAAUACCGCAUACGACCUACGGGUGAAAGCAGGGGAUCUUCUGACCUUGCGCGAUUGAAUGAGCCGAUGUCGGAUUAGCUAGUUGGCGGGGUAAAGGCCCACCAAGGCGACGAUCCGUAGCUGGUCUGAGAGGAUGAUCAGCCACACUGGAACUGAGACACGGUCCAGACUCCUACGGGAGGCAGCAGUGGGGAAUAUUGGACAAUGGGCGCAAGCCUGAUCCAGCCAUACCGCGUGGGUGAAGAAGGCCUUCGGGUUGUAAAGCCCUUUUGUUGGGAAAGAAAAGCAGCAGGUUAAUACCCAGCUGUUCUGACGGUACCCAAAGAAUAAGCACCGGCUAACUUCGUG